AGCGAACGCUGGCGGUAGGCCUAACACAUGCAAGUCGAACGGCAGCACAGUAAGAGCUUGCUCUUACGGGUGGCGAGUGGCGGACGGGUGAGGAAUACAUCGGAAUCUACUUUUUCGUGGGGGAUAACGUAGGGAAACUUACGCUAAUACCGCAUACGACCUACGGGUGAAAGCAGGGGAUCUUCGGACCUUGCGCGAUUGAAUGAGCCGAUGUCGGAUUAGCUAGUUGGCGAGGUAAAGGCCCACCAAGGCGACGAUCCGUAGCUGGUCUGAGAGGAUGAUCAGCCACACUGGAACUGAGACACGGUCCAGACUCCUACGGGAGGCAGCAGUGGGGAAUAUUGGACAAUGGGCGCAAGCAUGAUCCAGCCAUACCGCGUGGGUGAAGAAGGCCUUCGGGUUGUAAAGCCCUUUUGUUGGGAAAGAAAAGCAGCAGGUUAAUACCCCGCUGUUCUGACGGUACCCAAAGAAUAAGCACCGGCUAACUUCGUG
rnacentral:rRNA from 1 species